UGAAACACUGCUGCAGGUCCAAGAUGAAACAAAGGAAAGUGGAAAACAAACGGGUGUGGCAACAUAAAACAAACAUUUAAAUGAAUCCAAGAGACUGGGAAAUCCAGGGACAGAAUAUAAGAAUGAACCCAGCAACAAAGAAAACCAGACAUAGACCACAAAAACAGAAAAAACAAGCAAGGACAGCAAAAAGAGUACUGG